rnacentral:rRNA from 1 species
UACGGAGGAUCCAAGCGUUGUCCGGAUUUAUUGGGCGUAAAGAGCGUGUAGGCGGCCAAGCAGGUCCGCUGUGAAAAACUCGAGGCUCAACCUCGAGACGUCGGUGGAAACCGUUUGGCUAGAGUCCGGAAGAGGAGAGUGGAAUUCCCGGUGUAGCGGUGAAAUGCGCAGAUAUCGGGAAGAACACCCGUGGCGAAGGCGGCUCUCUGGGACGGUACUGACGCUGAGACGCGAAAGCGUGGGGAGCGAACGAGG